rnacentral:rRNA from 1 species
GACGAACGCUGGCGGCGUGCCUAAUACAUGCAAGUUGAGCGCUGAAGGUUGGUACUUGUACCGACUGGAUGAGCAGCGAACGGGUGAGUAACGCGUGGGGAAUCUGCCUUUGAGCGGGGGACAACAUUUGGAAACGAAUGCUAAUACCGCAUAAAAACUUUAAACACAAGUUUUAAGUUUGAAAGAUGCAAUUGCAUCACUCAAAGAUGAUCCCGCGUUGUAUUAGUUAGUUGGUGAGGUAAAGGCUCACCAAGGCGAUGAUACAUAGCCGACCUGAGAGGGUGAUCGGCCACAUUGGGACUGAGACACGGCCCAAACUCCUACGGGAGGCAGCAGUAGGGAAUCUUCGGCAAUGGACGAAAGUCUGACCGAGCAACGCCGCGUGAGUGAAGAAGGGUGUCGGAUCGUAAAACUCUGUUGGUAGAGAAGAACGUUGGUGAGAGUGGAAAGCUCAUCAAGUGACGGUAACUACCCAGAAAGGGACGGCUAACUACGUG